rnacentral:tRNA from 1 species
GUGACCCACUGGGAUCUGCCCCUGUCUAUUCGGGCUCAUAACCCGAAGGUCGGGAGUUCAAAUCUCCCCCCCGCCACCA